rnacentral:lncRNA from 1 species
GCUUUUUAAAGUGAAGUUGAAGCUAUUUUGCAAAACGUUUGGUAAAACGACUUCUCAAUGGCAAUAUAUGUAAUUUUAUGAUCACUUAAUGCUUGGAGAGAGAGGAGAAGCCGGUGAAGCCACUUUUUUCGGCUUCGCGGCUUCUCCUCUCUAGUGUAAGCCGUUUUGCGGCUUCUCCCCGACUUUGGUGGUGAAGCCGUUUUGAAAUUAGCCCUUUGGUAGGGCUUCACCAAAAGCCGGUGGAGAAGCACUUUGAGAAGCCCUACCAAACGGGACCUAAUUAGAAGUAUUAAAUAUAGUUUAAUUACAAAACUAAUUGCACAGAUGGAGUCUAAUUCGCGAGACGAAUCUAUUAAACCUAAUUAGUCCAUGAUUUGACAAUGUGGUGCUACAGUAACCAUUUGCUAAUGAUAGAUUAAUUAGCCUUAAUAUAUUCAUCUCGUGAAUUAGACUCAUCUAUGCAAUUAGUUUUAUAAUUAAUUUAUGUUUAAUCCUCCUAAUUAGUCCUUUGACCCCG